GGACUGUGGCUCAGGGGUAGUGCAUCUGCUUGGUGUGCAGAAGGUCAUAGGUUCAGUCCCCUGCAUGUCCA
rnacentral:tRNA from 1 species